GAGGGUAUAGCUCAGUAGUAGAACACAUGCUCAGCAUGCACGAGGUCCUGGGUUCAACCCCCAGUACUUCCA
rnacentral:tRNA from 1 species